GUAUCAGAGGAAGUAUUUGCAAACAGGCCCAUCUGUUCAAAUGAGAACCAGGCUUCUCUCCCAAGCCUCACAAGGUCGCAAAGCCUGCGGUGUCAGAAGCUCUGCCGAAUCCUUUAUCAUGUGUCUUUCCAGCCAGCGGCUGAUGAGAGAUCGUGUGUGAGAGAUCAUGUUGAUUUGAAAUUCAGCUGGUCCAGAAGGGGCCGGUCCUCCCUGUUGGCCAUUUCAGGUCAGCUCCAUAAAGGAUGCAGAGGAUGGGUUUUCAUGAUGGAAACACACGGCUGAUAUUUGCAAAGCUAGUUCAUCCAGGAACAUGAGUACAGGUGGAAUAUGGACUUUGCCUCUUUGGCUCUUCUGCUUGCCCAGUGCUUUGAACAGUGCCUGGCACAAGGGCUACCAUUCCCAGGAGGGCUACAACUCUGUGCUAUGACCCUGGCUCCAGCCUGUAUGCUCUGAUCCCUUUGGAAGGGACAAGAUCAGCUACAUGACGCUAAAUGUUGGUGAUGCUUCAGGCAUUGAAGUAAAUAAUGAUGGAUGUAACUACAAAAUUGUUCUUGACAACAUUGUUUCUAAUACCUGAGAACCAGAUGCAAUCCAAAUAGCAAACACAAGAUGAAAUAAAAUAUAAAACAUCCAUAUAAUAAAACACCAUCAAUAUAAAUUUUGGUCAAUCUGUGAGGUUAAAAAAAUGAUAAUCCAAUUGUUGGUAUCCAUUUGCAUUUCUUUAAUCUUUUUGUUGGCUGUCUUUCUUUCAGUGUUGACUGCUUA
rnacentral:lncRNA from 1 species